rnacentral:rRNA from 1 species
AUGGCUCCCAACGAGACGGCGCAGAAGCUGCUCCUCCAAGGAGCCCAAAAUGCAUGGGAUAUGCUGUCUGAGGAGCAAUCACAGAAACACAUCACUACUGGCUCUGGUGACCUGAACGGCAUACUUGGUGGAGGGAUUCAUUGUAAAGAAGUUACUGAGAUAGGUGGGGUUCCAGGAAUUGGUAAAACUCAACUGGGGAUUCAGCUAGCAAUCAACGUCCAAAUUCCCGUGGACUAUGGUGGCCUUGGCGGCAAAGCAAUUUAUAUUGAUACAGAGGGCAGUUUCAUGGUUGAACGCGUCUAUCAAAUUGCUGAAGGGUGCAUCAGUGACAUAAUGGAGUAUUUUCCAUGCCACCAUGACAAGUCGUCAUCUGGCCAAGAAAAUCUGCAGCCCGAGAGUUUCCUGGCAGGAAUCUACUACUUCCGAAUAUGCAGCUACACUGAACAGAUUGCGGUGAUAAACUAUCUGGAGAAAUUCCUCGGAGAACAUAAAGAUGUGAGAAUAGUUAUUAUUGAUAGUGUUACUUUCCACUUCCGACAAGAUUUUGAUGAUCUGGCUCUGAGGACUAGAGUGCUCAGUGGAUUAUCAUUGAAGUUGAUGAAGCUUUCAAAGUCAUAUAACUUGGCGGUUGUCUUGUUGAACCAAGUAACUACUAAAUUUACAGAAGGAUCAUUUCAGUUAACUCUUGCUCUAGUGACUGCAAGUCGACAGCAUCUCCGAAGGGGUUGGAUGUUAGCUCGCAAAAUUUCUUCUCCAAGUAGAAUUGCUGACAGUGACAGCUGGUCCCACUCGUGCACAAAUCGACUGAUUCUGUACUGGAAAGGGAACGAGCGGUGUGCAUACCUGGACAAGUCCCCUUCACUUCCUGUAGCUUCAACACCGUAUGCAGUGACAAGCAAAGGGGUGAGAGACGCUGGCAGUUCAAGCUGCAAGCGAGUUAGGGUAAUGUAG